CGGCAUACGUGAUGCGCCGGUUCGAUGAAGUUGACGUGUUGAGCACACGCUUAUGCAUUCCGCAGGGAAUAGCGGGGUAUCAGAUCUUCUCGAAUGAUAUAAAAAAGCUGAUCAAGUGUAAGACCUUGACUGUAUCCUUAUUGCAGAAUCGCCAUGGCUUGGUGCCGGUCAUUCUGCAUCUCUUGAGGUCUAGGAGUUGCAACAGUACGGGGAAGUUUUUUCCUUGCACUUGAUUCAUAUUCCUAAUGGUCCAUCGAACGACACAUGCCCAUCAUCUUGCCCUUGUUGUUCGGAAGAGAGUCGCAGGAUUGAUGGCAUUGAUCUCGGUUCACUUGAUGAGGUAGAAAUCAGUUCCUACAAAGGUUUUUCAUGAAGAAUUCGAAUUUGUGGAGCUGCUAUCCAGAUGCAAUGCAAGAGUCCUGAAAAAGUUGGUCAUCAACUAUCUGAUGCAACUGGAUAGCAGCUUUGGUCGAGAAGGUCCGCAGCAUGAGCCAACCAAAUGUUAAAGUCGAAUUUUAUGUGUUUCCAGAUGGACCAGUUGGGCGACGGGUGCGUCUUGACUGAUUACUAAGCACUCGUGUGAAAAAAUGUAACUGCCUUUAGUAGUGCACUCGUGUGACUGUUUCGAGGAGGAUUGUUUCAGGCCUUUUUGAGCAUUCGGUUCAUAUUUAGACUUUGAUGUAUUAUCCUACGCCAACUUGCUUGGUAGUACUUGAGACUUUAAUGUUUAAAUGUAAUACUGCAAGCUCAUUGUUGUUUUGCACCUGAUUUUGUAAAGAAACACAACAAUUCAGUGGCAACAGCUGCCUAGCACACAGUAUGAGCGGGCAAGAAAACAUUCAAAUUGUCAAAAAGCUUACAUGGCAAUCAUGAU